UACGUAGGGUGCAAGCGUUUAAUCGGAAUUACUGGGCGUAAAGCGUGCGCAGGCGGUUUUGUAAGUCUGUCGUGAAAUCCCCGGGCUCAACCUGGGAAUUGCGAUGGAGACUGCAAGGCUAGAAUCUGGCAGAGGGGGGUAGAAUUCCACGUGUAGCAGUGAAAUGCGUAGAGAUGUGGAGGAACACCGAUGGCGAAGGCAGCCCCCUGGGUCAAGAUUGACGCUC
rnacentral:rRNA from 1 species